UUCUGCUCUCGCCUGUGUGUGUUUGAUCAUGAAGCUGGGUGACAGCUAUCUUUGACAGCUGCGUGACUCAGUGGCCCAAAGGUCCGCCCACCGAGCUGGGGGAAAUCUUUCAUCAGCGCCGAAAAUCAGGUUGUCAUACUUCUCCCAGACACAUGGAAACCUCCUACAGUAGGCACAUAAUGUCUAAGAGCAUCCUGGGUUAAGCCUCCUCUGAAAGCAAUGACUGCCCUUAAAGCAAAUCUCUCUCCUUGGAGCAUCAGAUUGGAGGGAAAUUCACACAAAGAAAAUUCUGUGGAGGUACUUCCAAGAAUGAAAAGAGAAUGAAGAAAUUCAAGAACAAGAGAGGAUUCAGUUGCUUACUGAAGUAAGGAAGAGGGACAACAACAAAUUGUUAAAGAAAAAAUGGCCAAAACAUUUGCACACAGAAGAAACUAAAUUGUCAAACUAUCACCAAGCAUAGAGGACAUCAAAGCCAGAUGGCCUGCUCUAUUUGAGGCAUCUCAUAUCCCGGAGGAGUUUCACUGAAUCACAAUGGUGCACCUUGAAUCAAAGUUCAUGUCCAAGCUGGAUGAAUACACUCCCAGGCUUCUGAAACUCUUCCAGUCCAAGGGUGGAACCAUGGGGUUGAGGUUGCAGGCCAUCCUACUCAAGGUAUCCUUCAGCUCCAAGCAAUCCACCUGCGUGAAGUUGGCCCCUCAAACAAUGCAAAACGUCGGCAAAAUAGUCUCAAUCAUUUGUGCUGUAAAAUUUUUUGUUUGUGCUGCUUCGGUUUUUGAGAUAUUAAAAGAAUAUUUAUGUCAUUCUGAGGCACACAGCCCCCCCAACCCCCCCACGCUCCAAAUUCACUCAAAUAGUCUCGUUUGUUUGUGCUUAAUCUGUGCUGGUUUGUGCCUCUAAAUGUUAUGUUUUUGCGAAUGUCUUUUUUUUUUUUUUUUACAAUAAAGUUGAAGUAACAAGGUAAAAUACAAACAUGUAUAAUAAUGGAUAUUGGAUAUAAUAAAUAAUAAGUUGGAGACAGUGCAUCUGGAAAGUAUUCACAGCGCUUCACUUUUCCCACAUUUUGUUAUGUUACAGCCUUAUUCCAAAAUGGAUUAAAUUCAUUAUUUUCCUCAAAAUUCUACAAACAAUAACCCAUAAUGACAAUGUGAAAGAAGUUUGCUUGAAAUCUUUGCAAAUUUCCAUCCAUUUAUUCAUCCAUCUUGUAUACCGCUUAUCAUUUUCAGGGUCACGGGAAACCUGGAGCCUAUCCCAGGGAACAUGGGGCACAAGGCGGGGUACACCCUGGAUAGGGGUGCCAAUCCAUCUCAUGGCACAUAAUCACACACACAUUCAUACACUUAUUUUUUUAUUCAUUUUCAUGUGAUUCAUGCGAUUCAUUUGCAUGUGAUUCAUUUGCAUGUGAUUCAUUUACAUGUGAUUCAUUUACAUGUGAUUCAUUUACUGAUUUGCUUCUCUUUAAAUCCAGUUUUAGACUGUGAUAUUACAAAGGUCUUUCCAGAUUACUACUUGCCACACUGUAUGAGAUAACCCCAAUAAAAUUGCCUGAAUUCUAUAAUAUAAUUUGUUCACCAUGUUAGGUUUAAAUCCUCUAAAAACAGAUUCGCAAUUGAAUAACAUUACUCUGUUCCAAUUCACAUCCUUCAAAGCAUUGGCAUGUUUUGUUUACUUUCACAAUUGCCACUACUGUAUUUUAGCUAAUUCUUGAGUUUUACCUCAUCCUAUGCUGUCUUGUAAUUAUUAUAUUUUAGAUGAGCAUUGUAAUAAAUUCAUUAACAGUUUUUUUUCCUUUUUAUACUAACAAAGGGAAACAAAAUUAAAAAGUACAAUCACCGAACACAAGCCAGGACCACUACAGACAUGCCAAUCAACCUACCAUUCAUGUCUUUGGACUGGGGGAGGAAACCGGAGUACCCGGAGGAAACCUCCGCAGCACAGGGAGAACAUGCAAACUCUGCACACACAGAGCCGCAGGAAUCGAACCCCCAACCCUGGAGGUGUGAGCAUGUCAGGAAGCUGGGGUCAGAGCGCAGGGUCACCCAUGGUACAGCGCCCCAGGAGCAGAGAGGGUUAAGGGCCUUGCUCAAGGGCCCAACAGUGGCAACUUGGCAGUGCUGGGGCUUGAACCCCUGACCUGCCGAGCAGUAACCCAGAGCCUUAACUGUCAAGCCACCACUGCCCCUGAGUAGCCGCAGAGAGAAGUGUACCUUAGAGGACUGCAUUGGGAUUGGUAUCCCGCGCAAAUCUCACGGGAGUGGGCAGUUUUACCUUUUCUGCGGGUGGGAGUGGGCGGUCAAAAAAUAUAGCAUGGUCCCGAGAUUUGGCGCGUAACAAGAAUGGAGUCAACAAAUGAGGUUGAGAAGAAAAUUAAAGCGGCUAUUUACGUCACAAAAACAAAGUAAGGCAAGUCUGACAUUUAGAAAAUUUUCAGUUGUUACUGAAAAAAAUGGAAAAGAAUGUAACUUUGUAAGUUGCGAUAAAUGUGCAAAAGUAUUCGUUUACAAGGGGCACAAAUCUGGCACCUUUGGGUUGAGGCGACAUAUCUGCUCCGUUCUCCAGGGUGCAUCCUGUGUUUCAGCGCCAAAGCCUGUCGAUGCUGAAAUAGCGGAAUAUCUCACCACCUGACUCUCGGACAAACCAGAUCCAGACAGUCAGUACGUUUACAUGGACAACAAUAAUCCAAUAUUAACCUGAUUAAGACAAUACUCUGAUUAAGAAACUACCAUGUAAACAGCCGUUUUUUAUUACUGAAAGGAAAUUCUCUUAUAUCAUGUACUCUCUUAUAUUAUGACCUGCUAUCAAAUGAAUGUAUACAUUUAAUUACCUCUUUAAAUAAGCUGAUCAACUGCCAUCCUUUCUUAUAGCUAGCACAUGUAUUUUCUGUCUCUUGAAAAGACUUAUUUUCAUAGUGUUCUGUGUGUUUUGUUUUGUAUCUGUCUGGCCCCUGCACCAGUAGAAACUGUCCACGCACUGCUGUUAUCAAAGUGUAUAAAUACUCUUGGUUUGCAUGAAUAAACUCAGAUGUCUAUUUGAGCAUGCAUGUGUUAGUGUGUGUUCAUUUGGGCUCCCCAGAUCGAUCUGAAAUGCUCUGAGGAGAACCACACUUUUUAAGCACAGAACUAAAAGUUAAUAGAAGUAAUUGUAGAACAGGCUGAAAGGCAUGACGGAAGAUCUGAAAGGCAUAAUCUGAGAUUCCUGAGACACAUGGAAAUCUAACAAUUACCUUAAUCCGAUUAAAGUCAUACUCGAAGUAAACACAAAUCGAAUUAAGACGUGUGGAGUAUUCCUGUUUUAAUUGCAUUAUUGACAUGCAUUACAGACAUGUAAACACCUUAAUCACACAAUUAACGUCACGUGGGAGUUUUUACCACAUUUUGUGACAGGACUCGUACACACAUGGCAGUGCGCAACCAUUUGACGGCAAACAGGAGAGCACGGUUGCGUCCGAAACUGCAUAUUUACCUACUAUAUAGUAGGCAAAAUACAUAUGUUUCAGCUACU